rnacentral:tRNA from 1 species
UAUAUUCAAUUAUUUUUUGUAUUAAAACUUUUGAUGUUUUAGGGGACAAUUUUUAUUUGUCGAAUAUAA